GACGGGGGCCCGCACAAGCGGUGGAGCAUGUGGUUUAAUUCGAUGAUACGCGAGGAACCUUACCAGGGCUUAAAUGCAGUCUGACAGGGGUGGAAACACCCUUUCCUUCGGGCAGAUUGCAAGGUGCUGCAUGGUUGUCGUCAGCUCGUGCCGUGAGGUGUCAGGUUAAGUCCUAUAACGAGCGCAACCCCUGUGGUUAGUUGCCAGCGAGUCAUGUCGGGAACUCUAACCAGACUGCCAGUGCAAACUGUGAGGAAGGUGGGGAUGACGUCAAAUCAUCACGGCCCUUACGUCCUGGGCCACACACGUGCUACAAUGGUGCGUACAGAGGGCUGCAAGCUCGCGAGAGCAAGCCAAUCCCUUAAAACGCAUCGUAGUCCGGAUCGGAGUCUGCAACUCGACUCCGUGAAGUCGGAAUCGCUAGUAAUCGCGAAUCAGAAUGUCGCGGUGAAUACGUUCCCGGGCCUUGUACACACCGCCCGUCACACCAUGGGAGUGGAUUGCACCAGAAGUGGUUAGUCUAACCUUCGGGAGGACGAUCACCACGGUGUGGUUCAUGACCGGGAAAGUCGUAACAAGGUAACC
rnacentral:rRNA from 1 species